UAGGCCGGUGGCUACAGCUCUGAUUUGCCGCCUCUCCUGGGAAUUUCCGUAUGCCGCGGGGGCCGCCCUCAAACCCCGAGACGAAUCGAUCAGUAAUGUCCUCCAGUUCUCUGUGCACUGCUGCAGUGGGUAGGGUUUCUGUGGGCUGUAUCCAUCCCGUUGUCUUUCUCAGUCUGUGUGCCCGUGGGCACUGGGGCUCUGUUUCUGUUGGGCUCUCGUGUGUGUGGCGCUGCCGGGAUCCUGGGAUGGCGGGUCUCUUUACCCGACACCGAUGGUUCUUCCUUUAGAUGUCCACGCAGCAGUGGGACUGCGGGGUCCCGUGCUAGGUCCGUGGGCAGCUUUCCUGAGGACCUGCCAUAGUGUUUCCCGUCCUGGCUGGGCCAGCUGACCUUCCCGCCCACAGCGUAGAGAAGUCCCAGCUUGGAGCUUGGAGAGUGUGUGUGAGAGCGACCUCCGCUGACAGCAACCUCGCGAAAGUGAUCGAGACUCGGUGGCGGAGCGCACCGACUGCCGCCAGGAUGAGGAGGCUGCAGACUGUUGCUUUGGGAGCAAAGGAUCGUGCUUCAAAAGUCUGAGGACAAGUUUGUCCUCUGCGAGCUUGGCUAGAAUAAUUCCCCGGUGGCCACACAACAGGGUGCACCUUGCCACUGAGCCAGAUGAAGGUACUGUGGGACCUGACUCAGUACAUUCAGGCAUGGACAAUGAUUCUAGUUCAUUCAGUGUUCCAAAUUUCCGAACAAACUCUACACAUGCUAAGCCAUGUCUUUCUUUUACUGCAUGAUGGAAAUUCAAAUGAACUAACUUGGAGUUCCUGUCGUGGCGCAGUGGUUAACGAAUCCGACUAGGAACCAUGAGGUUGCGAGUUUGAUC